UUGGACUUUAGUACUCAGGUUUUGCCCAAGACUAAGCUUUGGUCUAACAUUUGUCCAACGUUAGAGCUUGGUACCUGGACCAGACGUUGACCCGCGUUGAUUAGUUAUAUGAUGAUGUGUCUAACUAUUUGACUUGGUUUAUUUUUUGUGCACCCUUUAAAUAACUAUGUAAUCACUAAACAAACCUUAAAAAAAAUCAGUUCUUCGGUUCUUCCCCCUUUUCUUCUCUUCUCCUUCUCUGUGUCUGCCGCUUAAUACUCGAAUGUUUUGUGUUUGCUGCUUAACACAAAUGUUUUGUCUUAUAUUUAUUCCAAUGGUGAAUAAUAAGUAUAGAUCGGGUUAAACAUCCCUCUUUCUCUAUUUCUCCACCAACUCUCAAUCACUCUUCAUCAGUUGUUGGAGAUCUGAUUUUUCAUAAUAAGAAUCAAAGAAUUUUUGUCCUGAUUUUGAUUUUGGUAUUAUCAAUUUGGAAGGGAAAUGAAGAUUUGACUGAUUAAUUAAACAAUAAAGAUGAAGAGUCGGGGAUCGAUCAAUCUAUUAUCUGGAUUGGAUUUCCGAUCCAGAAUUUCUAUUCUUACUUUUACAAUGGUUGCUGCUAUGCUACUCUUUACAUUGCUAGAAGGUUGUGGCAGGAUGCAGAGAAUAGAGUUUAUUUGAUUAAUGGGCUUGAUAGAACCACUGGAAAAGUUAUUCUUCAUGUUUUGAUUAUUAUGAAAUUAUAGGGUUUGAGCUGUUUGCACUCAAGAGAAGAGAGUACAAGAUCGGAUUGAAUUUAUUAAGCUGUUGUUCAUGGGUUUGAAGUGGAAGAAGGGUCUGGUGUCUUUAUGAAGAAACUAAAUGAGGAAUUUGAUGGAGAUUAAAGAGGUGAUUCAGAGUAAUCGAACACUGGUUUUAGAGAUGAUUCCAUCGGGAUAAAAUUUUGGUUUCAACUCAAAUUCAUUCAAGUGGUACUGACUUUGAGCUAAACUUACCUGUAACUCUGCCUGUUCUUGUAAUUUAGGGGUUCACGGAAAGAAUAAUAUUACCUGAUUUACAAGGUAUAGCAGCUGAGAUGGGAUGGAGAUGUUUGCACCUUCAGGUUUCAGAGAAGAAUGGAAUUGAAUGGAAUCUUUUAUUACUGGUUCUAGGGUCUCUCCUUGUAAAUCGAAUGUAUCAAUGGUAUAGGUUUUGAGUGACUUUGAUUUUGUAUAUGAUUCAAAUUAUUGGGUCUCUAUCCAAUUUGAAAUUGCCGGGAUUUGAAUGUUAUAAAAGAAGCAAAACAAGCCAACAGAAGGGAUUGCACAACUCUUGUUUGAAAA